UACAGAGGGUGCGAGCGUUGUUCGGAAUUAUUGGGCGUAAAGCGCUUGUAGGCGGCACGUCAAGUCGCGUGUGAAAUCCCCAGGCUUAACCUGGGAAGUGCGCGCGAAACUGACGAGCUUGAGUGCCGGAGAGGGUCGCGGAAUUCCCGGUGUAGAGGUGAAAUUCGUAGAUAUCGGGAGGAACACCAGUGGCGAAGGCGGCGACCUGGACGGACACUGACGCUGAGA
rnacentral:rRNA from 1 species